CGAGGGGUAACCUGCGGAGGGAUCAUUACACAAUACAAUAUGAAGGCUGUCCGCAGCUGGAGUAUUUUAUUACCCUUGUCUUUUGCGCACUUGUUGUUUCCUGGGCGGGUUCGCUCGCCACCAGGACCACCAAAUAAACCUUUUUUAUGCAGUUGCAGUCAGCGUCAGUACAAACAAUGUAAAUCAUUUACAACUUUCAACAACGGAUCUCUUGGUUCUGGCAUCGAUGAAGAACGCAGCGAAAUGCGAUACGUAGUGUGAAUUGCAGAAUUCAGUGAAUCAUCGAAUCUUUGAACGCACAUUGCGCCCUUUGGUAUUCCAAAGGGCAUGCCUGUUCGAGCGUCAUUUGUACCCUCAAGCUUUGCUUGGUGUUGGGCGUUUUUGUCUUUGGUCGCCCAAAGACUCGCCUUAAAGUGAUUGGCAGCCGGCCUUUCUGGUUUCGCAGCGCAGCACAUUUUUGCGCUUGCCAUCAGCAAAACGGCAAUCCAUCAAGCCUCCUUCUCACGUUUGACCUCGGAUCAGGUAGGGAUACCCGCUGAACUUAAGCAUAUCAAUAGGCCG
rnacentral:rRNA from 1 species